UGAGGUUUGGUUCAGGGGUAGAAAGCUCACCUAGCAUGCGUGAGGCACUGGGUUCGAUCCUCAGCACCACAU
rnacentral:tRNA from 1 species